rnacentral:rRNA from 1 species
GUUGUAUAGUCAAGUAAUUAAGUGCAUGUGGUGGAUGCCUUGGCAGUCAGAGGCGAUGAAAGACGUGAUAGCCUGCGAAAAGCUCCGGGGAGGCGGCAAAUAUCCUUUGAUCCGGAGAUGUCUGAAUGGGGGAACCCACCUACUUUAAGGUAGGUAUUGCAACAUGAAUACAUAGUGUUGCAAGGCGAACGAGGGGAAGUGAAACAUCUCAGUACCCUUAGGAAAAGAAAUCAAUUGAGAUUCCCUCAGUAGCGGCGAGCGAACGGGGAUCAGCCCAUUAAGUUAUGUGUGUUUUAGUGGAACGCUCUGGGAAGUGCGAACGUAGAGGGUGAUAUUCCCGUACACGAAAGGGCACACAUAAUGAUGACGAGUAGGGCGAGGCACGUGAAACCUUGUCUGAAUAUGGGGGGACCAUCCUCCAAGGCUAAAUACUCCUGACUGACCGAUAGUGAACCAGUACCGUGAGGGAAAGGCGAAAAGAACCCCUGUGAGGGGAGUGAAAUAGAUCCUGAAACCGCAUGCAUACAAGCAGUGGGAGCACCUUCGUGGUGUGACUGCGUACCUUUUGUAUAAUGGGUCAGCGACUUAUAUUCAGUAGCAAGGUUAACCGUAUAGGGGAGCCGUAGAGAAAUCGAGUCUUAAUAGGGCGUUUAGUUGCUGGGUAUAGACCCGAAACCAGGCGAUCUAUCCAUGAGCAGGUUGAAGGUUGGGUAACACUAACUGGAGGACCGAACCCACUGUCGUUGAAAAGCCAGGGGAUGACUUGUGGAUAGGGGUGAAAGGCUAAUCAAGCCUGGUGAUAGCUGGUUCUCCCCGAAAGCUAUUUAGGUAGCGCCUCGGACGAAUACCAUAGGGGGUAGAGCACUGUUUCGGCUAGGGGGUCAUCCCGACUUACCAAACCGAUGCAAACUCCGAAUACCUAUGAGUACUAUCCGGGAGACAGACUGCGGGUGCUAACGUCCGUAGUCAAGAGGAAAACAAUCCAGACCGCCAGCUAAGGCCCCAAAAUCAUAGUUAAGUGGGAAACGAUGUGGGAAGGCAUAGACAGCUAGGAGGUUGGCUUAGAAGCAGCCACCCUUUAAAGAAAGCGUAAUAGCUCACUAGUCGAGUCGGCCUGCGCGGAAGAUGUAACGGGGCUAAAACUAUGUGCCGAAGCUGCGGAUNNNNNNNNNNNNAAACUAUGUGGCUGCGGAUGUAUACUUUGUAUACGUGGUAGGGGAGCGUUCUGUAAGCCGAUGAAGGUGUGUUGAGAAGCAUGCUGGAGGUAUCAGAAGUGCGAAUGCUGACGUGAGUAACGACAAAACGGGUGAAAAACCCGUUCGCCGAAAGACCAAGGGUUCCAGUCCAACGUUAAUCGGGGCUGGGUGAGUCGACCCCUAAGGCGAGGCCGAAAGGCGUAGUCGAUGGGAAAAUGGUUAAUAUUCCAUUACUUCUGUGUAAUGCGAUGAGAGGACGGAGAAGGCUAAAUCAGCCUGGCGUUGGUUGUCCAGGUGAAAGGAUGUAGGCAUGUAUCUUAGGCAAAUCCGGGGUACUCUAUGCUGAGAUCUGAUAGCAAGCUGUACUUGUACAGCGAAGUGGUUGAUGCCAUGCUUCCAGGAAAAGUCUCUAAGCUUCAGUUACACAGGAAUCGUACCCGAAACCGACACAGGUGGUCAGGUCGAGUAGACCAAGGCGCUUGAGAGAACUCUGCUGAAGGAACUAGGCAAAAUGGUACCGUAACUUCGGGAGAAGGUACGCUGUUGUUGGUGAUGGAACUCGCUUCCUGAGCUGACGACAGCCGCAGAAACCAGGCCGCUGCAACUGUUUAUUAAAAACAUAGCACUCUGCAAACACGAAAGUGGACGUAUAGGGUGUGAUGCCUGCCCGGUGCUGGAAGGUUAAUUGAUGGGGUUAGCGUAAGCGAAGCUCUUGAUCGAAGCCCCAGUAAACGGCGGCCGUAACUAUAACGGUCCUAAGGUAGCGAAAUUCCUUGUCGGGUAAGUUCCGACCUGCACGAAUGGCAUAAUGAUGGCGGCGCUGUCUCCAGCAGAGGCUCAGUGAAAUCGAAAUCGCUGUGAAGAUGCAGUGUACCCGCGGCUAGACGGAAAGACCCCGUGAACCUUUACUGCAGCUUGACACUGAACUUUGACCUUACUUGUGUAGGAUAGGUGGGAGGCUUUGAAGCUGGAACGCUAGUUCCAGUGGAGCCGUCCUUGAAAUACCACCCUGGUAAUGUUGAGGUUCUAACUCUGUCCCGUGAUCCGGGACGAGGACCGUGUCUGGUGGGUAGUUUGACUGGGGCGGUCUCCUCCUAAAGAGUAACGGAGGAGUACGAAGGUGCGCUCAGCGUGGUCGGAAAUCACGCGUAGAGUAUAAAGGCAAAAGCGCGCUUAACUGCGAGACCCACAAGUCGAGCAGGUACGAAAGUAGGUCUUAGUGAUCCGGUGGUUCUGUAUGGAAGGGCCAUCGCUCAACGGAUAAAAGGUACUCUGGGGAUAACAGGCUGAUACCGCCCAAGAGUUCAUAUCGACGGCGGUGUUUGGCACCUCGAUGUCGGCUCAUCUCAUCCUGGGGCUGAAGCAGGUCCCAAGGGUAUGGCUGUUCGCCAUUUAAAGAGGUACGCGAGCUGGGUUUAGAACGUCGUGAGACAGUUCGGUCCCUAUCUACCGUGGGCGCUGGAAAUUUGAGAGGAUCUGCUCCUAGUACGAGAGGACCAGAGUGGACGAACCUCUGGUGUACCGGUUGUGACGCCAGUCGCAUCGCCGGGUAGCUAUGUUCGGAAGGGAUAACCGCUGAAAGCAUCUAAGCGGGAAGCCUACCUCAAGAUAAGAUUUCCCUAGGACUUUAUGUCCUCUAAAGAGCCGUUCGAGACUAGGACGUUGAUAGGUUGGAUGUGGAAGCAUAGUGAUAUGUGAAGCUGACCAAUACUAAUUGCUCGUGAGGCUUGACUAUACAACACCCAAGCAGUUG